rnacentral:rRNA from 1 species
GAGUUUGAUCCUGGCUCAGGAUGAGCGCUAGCUACAGGCUUAACACAUGCAAGUCGAGGGGCAGCAUGGUCUUAGCUUGCUAAGGCCGAUGGCGACCGGCGCACGGGUGAGUAACACGUAUCCAACCUGCCGUCUACUCUUGGACAGCCUUCUGAAAGGAAGAUUAAUACAAGAUGGCAUCAUGAGUCCGCAUGUUCACAUGAUUAAAGGUAUUCCGGUAGACGAUGGGGAUGCGUUCCAUUAGAUAGUAGGCGGGGUAACGGCCCACCUAGUCUUCGAUGGAUAGGGGUUCUGAGAGGAAGGUCCCCCACAUUGGAACUGAGACACGGUCCAAACUCCUACGGGAGGCAGCAGUGAGGAAUAUUGGUCAAUGGGCGAGAGCCUGAACCAGCCAAGUAGCGUGAAGGAUGACUGCCCUAUGGGUUGUAAACUUCUUUUACAAAGGAAUAAAGUCGGGUAUGCAUACCCGUUUGCAUGUACUUUAUGAAUAAGGAUC